rnacentral:rRNA from 1 species
UACGGGGGGGGCAAGCGUUGUUCGGAAUUACUGGGCGUAAAGGGCUCGUAGGUGGCCAACUAAGUCGGACGUGAAAUCCCUCAGCUUAACUGGGGAACUGCGUCCGAUACUGGAUGGCUUGAGUUUGGGAGAGGGAUGCGGAAUUCCAGGUGUAGCGGUGAAAUGCGUAGAUAUCUGGAGGAACACCGAUGGCGAAGGCAGGUCUCUGGGCCGCAACUGACGCUGAGGAGCGAAAGCAUGGGGAGCGAACAGG